GAUUUUCGGCACAACACCUAUAUUGUCCAGUCCUGCAUGUCUAUUUUCUUGAAAGUAGGUUAAAGCAUACUGUAGGCUGUACCUGACACGUACUGGGCUCACUCAAACUUCGCAACAAUGCUUAUUAUUAUCACAAAGCUGAGUGGAUCAUUGCAGCAUGCUCAGGAAAGUGGGUAGGUGUGCUGGCUUCUUAGCAGAUAUGCAGCACAACAUCUGGACUGAUCAUUACCCUGAGAAAACACCAAUUGACAAGUUGAGAGCGACAGCUUUGUAAGGCCUAACCCUGGCAAAACAGAGAAUAAAAGAACUCAGCUACAGGACACCGGGAGUGCCUGUUACUUGUGCUAAUCUACCUGUGCAAGUGUCUGAAAGCCCUGAGGACCAUCGAGUUCUCUGGUCAUAAUAAUAAGAAUGGUCAAGUGGAUGAUUUCUCCACUCAUGGGACUGACCAGAGAUCACCCACCCAGUUGGUGUCUCUACAGUGGUGAAGAAAAUGUAUGAGUCUCAGGGGAUCACCAAUCCGAAAUGGGGGUGUUAGCAGCACCCCCCCCUUGAUACCUCUCCGAUGGCACCUCACAUUAGCAAACCCAUGUUCGCCUUUGAACCAGAGACCAACCCUGGAAAAGAUGCUGAGGUAGUCCAUCCCGACCAUCAUACAAUGCGGC
rnacentral:lncRNA from 1 species